GCAUUAAUGGGGUAGUGGUAACCUGGGUCGUUGCCAUUCGAUUUAGAUUGUCGACCCGCCGGGGGUUCGAUUCCCCCUUAAUGCA